CCUCUCCAAAUCAAUGAAACAGUAGUAGCAAAUGCAGUAGCAAUUACAGCUUUUUUGAACUGUUUGCUCCUUGCAUUGCUACAUAUCCAUGUUAAUUCAGAUUUCCAGCAAACAGGCCUUCUAUGAUAUCCCAGCCAAUGACAAAUCUUGCUCCAAAUUCUGUUUGUGACUGAGCAAUCAAAAAAUUUGUAUUGUAUUUGUUAUUGUCAUUAUAAAGUGUUUCUAACAAAAAGCUUAAAUCAAAAUUUACAUUUUCAACCUUUUGAUCUUGCUUUUGUCAGGUGUCACCAAUAAAUUAAACUUUGCCUAAGGCCCCGUUUGACCAUAAGUUUUGCCAAAAUAAAUUUGAGAUUUAUUUUCAAAACUCAUGUUUGGCCACAAAUUUUGCUUAUAUUUUGGCCAAAUUCCAAAUAAAAAAUUUCAAAUUCCGAAAUCAGCUAUUGAGUUAAUUUUGAGCCAAAAUCCCAAAACUUCGGAAUUAUAUACAUGUUUUUUCAAAAUAAAGUUGGAAAAUAUAUCCAAACAUAUUUUAUCUUCAAACCAAACUUAACCCAAACCAAAAUUUUCAAAAUAAAUUUGAUAUGUAUGGCCAAACGCUAGCUAAGGGUAACAUAUUAGUACGAAAGAUGGAAGUAUAUCGGUGAAUGAAAAAAUAAUAAAAGAAGAUUUCAUAAGAGGAUGUUGAUCCAAGUUAACAAUGAUCACACGGUUUCGUAAGGUUUGACUUAGGUCUAUUUAUGAGAAAUAAAUUAUAAAAGAUGAUUCUUUAUUGUCCGCUAGAUGGCACAUAGUAUUUUUAUCUUCUGUACUUCCCCCUUGGAAGAAAAAGCUCAUCUUUAAGUUAAUCACCAUGAAGUAAGCUUGCAAUUAAUAAUUUUGGUGUAUAUUCGUCUUUUAAUUAAGAAAGUACGAGGAGCAUGCUCAAGGGAAAAACUUUUGCUUUCC
rnacentral:lncRNA from 1 species